rnacentral:rRNA from 1 species
UACGGAGGGGGCUAGCGUUGUUCGGAAUUAUUGGGCGUAAAGCGCACGUAGGCGGCUUUGUAAGUUAGAGGUGAAAGCCCGGGGCUCAACUCCGGAAUUGCCUUUAAGACUGCAUCGCUAGAAUUGUGGAGAGGUAAGUGGAAUUCCGAGUGUAGAGGUGAAAUUCGUAGAUAUUCGGAAGAACACCAGUGGCGAAGGCGACUUACUGGACACAUAUUGACGCUGGGGUGCGAAAGCGUGGGGAGCAAACAGG